rnacentral:rRNA from 1 species
UACGUAGGGUGCGAGCGUUAAUCGGAAUUACUGGGCGUAAAGCGUGCGCAGGCGGUUGGCAAAGUCAGCUGUGAAAGCCCCGGGCUUAACCCGGGAAUGGCGUCCGAAACUAUGGAGCUGGAGUGUGGCAGAGGGAGGUGGAAUUCCACGUGUAGCGGUGAAAUGCGUAGAGAUGUGGAGGAACACCGAUGGCGAAGGCAGCCUCCUGGGCCAACACUGACGCUCAUGCACGAAAGCGUGGGGAGCAAACAGG